AUUUGAAUGCAGGUGUGUAUUUGUGUUGGUAUUUGAAUGCUGGAAUAUAUGAACAUAUACACAUUCACUGCCACACACAUACUGACAUAGAUACAUAAAAUACAGAUUAGGGAAAUAUGCACACAGAAAAUACAGUUAACAUUUUACUAGGCUACUUAAAAUCAGCCCAAUAGAUUCCAAAUUUACACAGAAAAAAAGUGGAAUUGGAGUCACACCCAGAAC